rnacentral:tRNA from 1 species
GGGGAGGUGACGGAGCGGUUGAACGUGUUCGUCUCGAAAACGAAUAGGGUCUGAAAGCCCUCGAGGGUUCGAAUCCCUCCCUCCCCGCCA